AAUACGUUGCAGUACACCACCUGAAGUGCCAAGACCCGUGGAGCCAGACUACCCUGCGAAGUACGGGCAAGUGAACCCUGUUGGGGUUGGCAAUACCAGUAAAAGAGUGGUAGGGGCAGAUGCAAAGUCUGGGGGUAAAUAUCUUGACUUUGAGUUCUUUUAGUUUUAGGAAAUAGGAUUCUUGUAUCAGUAAUAUAACAUUAGUUGAUCCUUCAGCAGUCAGCACUGCUUUCUUCUAGUUAUUAUCAUUUGUUCAAUUGAUGAACUGCAAUACACAAGAACUGGGAAAA
rnacentral:misc_RNA from 1 species